ensembl:snRNA U2 U2 spliceosomal RNA
AUUGUUUCUGGGCCUUUUGGCUAAGGUCAAGUGUUUUAUCUGUUCUUAUCAGCUUGAUAUCUGAUACAUCCUCUAUCUGAAGACAAUAUAGUAAAUGGAUUUUUGGAGCUAGGAGUUGGAAUAGGAGCUUGCUCCAUCCACCUUGCACAUCGACCUGGUAUUGCAGUACGUCCAGGAAUGGUGCACCAAAA